CUAGUGUGACUUACAUAUAUUUAAUAGGGGAGAAACAGCUUUCCAAAGAUUAAGGCAGUGAUGAGAAAGCACAUCUGUAUGAAGGUACAUCUGUCACUGUUGCACGCUGGUCUUGCAAACCAAAUGGAAUACAACAGUGGAGUGGGCUGGGAGGAUGGAUGUACAUAGCAAAAGGCACAAUGAUGCCUUGGAGAAGGGCAAGAAGCUGCCCUGGGCCUCUCUUCUGUCCUACUGAGUAGAGAAGAAGCAUUGCUGAAAUGAGCCACAUGCUGAAGGAAAAAAAAGAAACACCCGCCAAGUGACCAGACUUGAUUACGAAGGCAGCAUUCCCAAACAUCAGCUCCAGCCUUCCUACGGGUACAGCAGGUGUAACCUGCCCCCGAGACAGCCCCUCCAAGCAUCACCCCCAUCAACAUUACAACUGAAGGUCUGGCUAGGCGACCCCUUUCUGUGGAUCAGAGCUUUGCCACUCUGAAAGCUGUCCAGUUUCUGUUGGAAUACAAGAACCCCUUAGAAGAGUAGUAGCUAUUAAAACUUUAGCAUAGCAAUGUCUGCUUUGGGUGUAGGCCUGCAGUUUUAAAGACUGUCGUAUGGGGGCGCCUGGGUGGCGCAGUCGGUUAAGCUUCCGACUUCAGCCAGGUCACGAUCUCGCGGUCCC